rnacentral:rRNA from 1 species
UGGGGAAUUUUGGACAAUGGGCGCAAGCCUGAUCCAGCCAUGCCGCGUGCGGGAAGAAGGCCUUCGGGUUGUAAACCGCUUUUGUCAGGGAAGAAACGGUCUGGGCUAAUACCCCGGACUAAUGACGGUACCUGAAGAAUAAGCACCGGCUAACUACGUGCCAGCAGCCGCGGUAAUACGUAGGGUGCAAGCGUUAAUCGGAAUUACUGGGCGUAAAGCGUGCGCAGGCGGUUAUGCAAGACAGAUGUGAAAUCCCCGGGCUUAACCUGGGAACUGCAUUUGUGACUGCAUAGCUAGAGAGCGGUAGAGGGGGAUGGAAUUCCGCGUGUAGCAGUGAAAUGCGUAGAUAUGCGGAGGAACACCGAUGGCGCAGGCAAUCCCCUGGACCUGUACUGACGCUCAUGCACGAAAGCGUGGGGAGCAAACA